rfam:Blautia sp. CAG:237 genomic scaffold, scf122
CAGUCGAUCUGCUGCGGGCAGAUGAAGUGGAUAUGCGUAUCAAUACCGCCUGCUGUCACGAUCAUUCCUUCGCCUGCAAGAGCCUCGGUGGAAGCACCUACGGUCAUGCCCGGUGUCACACCGUCCAUCACGCUUGGGUUUCCUGCUUUACCGAUUCCUUUGAUCUUGCCAUCCUUGAUUCCGAUAUCGGCUUUGAUGAUCCCUGUGCUGUCUACGAUCAGGGCGUUUGUGAUAACAAGAUCCAGAUCACCGUCUGCGCUUGUUGUCUUAACGGACUGUCCCAUACCAUCACGG